GCGCAAGCCUGACGGAGCAAGACCGCGUGAGGGAGGAAGGCUCUUGGGUUGUAAACCUCUUUUAUCAGGGAAGAAGAUCUGACGGUACCUGAUGAAUCAGCAUCGGCUAACUCCGUGCCAGCAGCCGCGGUAAUACGGAGGAUGCAAGCGUUAUCCGGAUUUAUUGGGCGUAAAGCGUCCGCAGGUGGUUUUUCAAGUCUGCUGUUAAAGCGCAGAGCUUAACUCUGUAACGGCGGUGGAAACUGAGAGACUAGAGUAUGGUAGGGGUUGCGGGAAUUCCCAGUGUAGCGGUGAAAUGCGUAGAUAUUGGGAAGAACACCAGCGGCGAAAGCGCGCAACUGGGCCAUUACUGACACUCAUGGACGAAAGCUAGGGGAGCGAAAGGGAUUAGAUACCCCCUGUAGUCCUAGCUGUAAACGAUGGGUACUAGGUGUUGACCGUAUCGACCCGGUCAGUGCCGUAGCUAACGCGUUAAGUACCCCGCCUGGGGAGUAUGCACGCAAGUGUGAAACUCAAAGGAAUUGACGGGGGCCCGCACAAGCGGUGGAGUAUGUGGUUUAAUUCGAUGCAACGCGAAGAACCUUACCAGGGCUUGACAUGUCGCGAAUCUCGGUGAAAGUCGAGAGUGCCUUCGGGAGCGCGAACACAGGUGGUGCAUGGCUGUCGUCAGCUCGUGUCGUGAGAUGUUGGGUUAAGUCCCGCAACGAGCGCGACCCUCGUUUUUAGUUGCCAGCAUUUAGUUGGGCACUCUAGAGAGACUGCCGGUGACAAACCGGAGGAAGGUGGGGAUGACGUCAAGUCAGCAUGCCCCUUACGUCCUGGGCUACACACGUACUACAAUGCUUCGGACAAAGGGUUGCGAGCUAGCGAUAGCAAGCUAAUCCCGUAAACCGAGGCUCAGUUCAGAUUGCAGGCUGCAACUCGCCUGCAUGAAGGAGGAAUCGCU
rnacentral:rRNA from 1 species